CUAUUAUUAUUAUUAUUAUUAUUAUUAUUAUUAUUAUUGAGAUGGAGUCUCGCUCUGUCACCCAUUCUGGAGUGCAGUGGCAAGACCUCGGCUCACUGCAACCUCCACCUCCCGAGUUUAAGCGAUUCUCCUGGCUCAACCUCCCAAGUAGCUUGGACUAUAAGCAUGUGGCAACAUGUCCGGCUGAUUUUUGUACUUUUAGUAGAGACGGAGUUUCACCAUGUUGGCAAGGCUGGUCUCAAACUCUUGACCUCAAGUGAUCCGCCUGCCUCAGCCUCCCAAAGUACUGGGAUUAUAGGCAUGAGCUGUCACACUCGGCCAUAGUAUAAUUUACUAAUUUGUUCUUUAAUGUGAUAUUUGUCCAUAUGUGUGUAUGCCUUCAGUGGUAUGGGAAAAGGACAGCAAGUAUUUCUUAAUCAUCUUAGUCUCCUUUCUUUUAUACUUUCAGUGCUUGAUCUUUUGGGUGAUAUCAGAAUGGUAGCUACUUCUGGGUAAACAUCAUUAACAAGCCCUCUGGCCAGCAGUAAGAGGUGGCCUCCCUGGGAUGACAAGGUAGAAGGGAGCUGCAGUUGAGUUGUUUUCCUAUUUCAGAUACUCCCUAUCUCCUUUUAGGUUUGGAAUCUGCAAGUCUCUUACCCUCUAGGCUAAUUAUUUCCUUUUGAGAGCAGUGAGGCCUUUUAUCAAGAUGGCUACAUUCUUGUGUGUCCUGACGCACAAAUGAUGAGUAAUGGGCUGAUUAGCCCAGUGACCUUCAUGAAUGAUAAAAAGGGAACAUAAAGAUGAGAGGUUUUUCCCACUCUGGGAAUCAGCUUCUCUCUGGACUUUUUUCAAGACAUGCUCCCUUACAAUAAAUAGUACAUUGCGCUUAUUUCUUGUCUGAUCCAUGCAUCCUGAUAUUUUGAAAUGAGAAUUUUAAAACCAAGGAUGGAGUACUUGACUCCCAGGCCCCUGACCAGGAUCUGCUUAGCACACACUAUUUAAUAGUGUUCAGAUUAACUUCUGGGCACCUGCGAGCCACCACAGUGCUGCUAUUUUGAUAAUCCCAUGGUUUAGAGGCCCUGACACCAUGGCCACUUCCACCUUUUACUCUGAUUAAGCGCUCAUGUUGCUAUUCUGUGAACCAGUGCCAGAGAGGAAGGUUGGCUCUCUGUUUGGAAGUGGCCCAAGCUUCUAUUAUAACCACUUUGGGAAAAAAGGCAAAAGAGCAGCUGUCCUACACAGUGUCUUUCUCCUCCUCCUGCUCACCCAGUCUGAGCUCAGACUUACCAUGAUUCCCUCAUUUGACCUCGAGCAUAUCACCAUCAGGGGUUUGCAAUUCAAAGUACAGCAUCACAGCAGACAGAACAAUGGCUUGGCCAAAGAUGUCCAUGUCCUUAUCCUCAGAAUAUGUGAACAGGUUAGGUUGCAUGAUGUUUUGACUGCAUUGUGUUUUCCCAGAACUCAUAUGUUGAAGCCUAACCCCCAAUGUGUCUGUAUUUGGAGAUAGGGCCUUUAGGGAAGUAAUUAAGGUUAAAUGAGGUUGUAAGGAUGCUGUUUGUAUUAGUCCAUUUUCACACUGCUGAUAAAGACAUACCCAAGACUGGGAAGAAAAGAGGUUUAAUGGACUUACAGAUGCACAUGGCUGGGGAGGCCUCGCAAUCAUGGAGGAAGGCAAGGAGUAGCAAGUCACAUCUUAUGUGGAUGGCAGCAGGCAGACAGAGGGAGCUUGUGCAGGGAACUCCUCUUUUUAAAACCAUCAGAUCUCAUGAGGCUUAUUCACUGUCACGAGAACAGCAUGAGAAAGACUUGCCCCCAUGAUUCAACUACCUCCCACCACAUCCCUCCCACAACUCAUGGGAAUUCAAGAUGAGAUUUAGGUGGAGACACAGCCAAACCAUAUCAUCCCACUCCUGACCCCUCCCAAAUUUCAUGUCCUCACACUUCAAAACAAUCAUGCCUUCCCAACAGUCCCCCAAAGCCUUAACUCAUUUCAGCAUUAACUCAAAAGUCAACAGUCCAAAGUCUUAUCUGAGACAAGUCAAGUCCCUUCUGCUUAUGAGCCUGUAAAAUCAAAAGCAAGUUAGUUACUUCCUAGAUACAAUGGGAGUACAGGCAUUGGGUAAAUAUAGCCAUUCCAAAUGGGAGAAAUUGGCCAAAACAAAGGGGCUACAGGCCCCAUGCAAGUUUGAAAUCCAGCAGGGCAGUCAAAUCUUAAAGCUCCAAAAUGAUCUCCUUUGACUCCAUGUCUCACAUCCAGGUCAUGCUGAUGUAAUAGGUGGGUUCCAUGGUCUUGGGCAGCUCUGCCUCUGUGGCUUUGCAGGGUACAGCCUCCCUCCUGGCUGCCUUCACUGGCUGGCAUUGAGUGUCUGUGGCUUUUUUCAGGUACACAGUGCAAGCUGUCAGUGGAUCUACCAUUCUGGGGUCUGGAGGACAGUGACCCUCUUCUCACAGCUCCACUAGGCAGUGCCACAGUAGGUACUCUGUGUGGGGGCUCCCACCCUACAUCUCCCUUCCACAUGCCCUAGCAGAGGUUCUCCAUGAGGGCCCUGCCCCUGCAGCAAACUUCUGCCUGGACAUCUCCAGGUGUUUCCAUACAUCUCCUGAAAUCUAGACACAGGUUCCCAAACCUCAAUUCUUGACUUUUGUGCACUCGCAGGCUGAACACCACGUGGAAGCCACAAAGGCUUGAGGCUUGCACCCUCUGAAGCCAUAGCCUGAGCUCUACAUUGGCCCCUUUCAGCCAUGGCUGGGACACAGGGCACCAAAUCCCUAGGCUGCACACAGCAUGGGGACCCUGGGACCAGCCCACGAAACCACUUUUUCCUCCUAGGCCUCCAGGCCUGUGAUGGGAGGGGCUGCUGUGAAGACCUCUGACAUGCCCUGGAGAUAUUUUCCCCAUUGUCUUGAUGAUUAACAUAUGCCUCCUCGUUGCUUGUGCAAAUGUCUGCAGCCAGCUUGAAUUUCUCCUCUGUAAAUGGGAUUUUCUUUUCUAUUGCAUUGUCAGACUGCAAAUUUUCCAAACUUUUAUUCUCUGCCUCCCUUGUAAAACUGAAUGCCUUUAAUAGCACCCAGGUCACCUCUUGAAUGCUUUGCUGCUUAGAAAUUUCUUCCACCAGAUACCCUAAAUCAUCUCUCUCAAGUUCAAACUUCCACAAAUCUCUAGGGCAGGGGCAAAAUGCCACCAGUCUCUUUGCUAAAACAUAACAAGCAUUACCUUUGCUCCAGUUCCCAACAAGUUCUUCAUAUCCAUCUGAGACCACCUCAGCCUGGACCUUAUUGUCCAUAUUGCUAUCAGCAUAAUGCCAUCCAACAAGUCUCUAGGAAGUUCAAAACUUUCCCACAUUUUCCUGUCUUCUUCUGAGCCCUCCAGACUGUUCCAACCUCUGCCUUUUACUCAGUUCUGAAGCCGCUUCCACAUUUUCGGGCACCUUUUCAGCAGUGCCCCACUCUACCCAUACCAAUGUACUGUAUUAGUCCAUUUUCACACUGCUGAUAAAGACAUACCUGAGACUAGGAAGAAAAGAGGUUUAAUGGAUUUGCAGUUCCACAUGGCUGGGGAGGCCUCACAAUCAUGGAGGAAGGCAAGGAGGAGCAAGUCACAUCUUACAUGGAUGGCGGCAGGCAAAGAGAGCGUGUCAGAUCUCAUUAGACUUAUUCACUAUCACAAGAAUAGCACAAGAAAGACUUGCCCACAUAAUUCAGUUACCUCCUACCAGGUCCCUCCCACAACAGGUGGGAAUGAAAAAUGAGAUUUGGGUGUGGACACAGCCAAACCAUAUCAGUGUCCUAAUCUAAUAGGACUGGUGUCCUUAUAAGAGGAGGAAGAGGCAUCAGAGCUCACGUUCUCUCUACAUGUGCACAGAGUAAACACCAUGUGAGGACACAGCAAGAAUGCAGAUAUCUACAAACCAAGGAGAGGCCUCAUCAGAAACAGAUCCUGCUGGCACUUUGAUCUUGGACUUCCAGCCUCCGGAAUUGUGAGAAAAUCAGUGUCCGUUGCUUAAGCCACCAGCCUGCAGUAUUUUGUUAUGGUAGCCAGAGCACUGAGUACACAUAACAGAGAGGAAUUAAAGUUGCAGAUGGAAAUUAAGGUUGCUAAUCAGCUGACAUUGAGAUGUGGAGAGGAGCUUGGAUUAUCUAGGUGGGUCCAAUGUAAUCCUUAAAAGUGGAAGAAGGCAAAGGUAAUGAAGUCCUAUUGACACCUUGGUUGUAACCUAGUGAGAACUGUAUUGAAUCUUUAACCUAAAACACUGUAAGAUAAUCAAUUCACAUUAUUUUAAACAACUACAUUUUUGGUAAUUUAUUACAAUAUCAAGAGAAAAUCAGUAUAAACAUGUUAGGGCAUAUUUUCUGUUUAAUAACACUUUAAUGAAUAUUUUGGAUAUACACACAUACUUGGGAUUCAUUUCCUCCAGAAAGAAACAUUGAUAUAGGGAACAAUAAAAUGACAAAUUUUAUUCUAUCUGUAGCCCCUAUAAGUUGCCACUAUGAGAACACUGAGUAAAUGGAAUAAAAAAGAGCACAAAUUUGCCCUUUCAGUUUAUUUUUCUUUCUUUGCCAAAACCAAAACCCACCAGAAGCAAAAAUAUUAAAGAACUCUGUAUUUAAAUUUAAUUCGCUAUUUAAAUAAAGCAAAAUUGAGGGUAACGUAAUACCUACCUGCAAAGGAACUUUUGAGUAAUAGCUAAUUCUCACCUUUAUAAUCAUUACUUUUGAGAGAGAAAGAGAAAGAGCUUUUGUGUGUGUGUGUGUGUGUGUGUGUGUGUGUGGUGUAUUGUACUAUAUUGUGUGUGUGGCUUGUUCAGAGAUUUUGAGAAACCAUUUGUGGUUUCAGGACUCACAGCCAUUGAAGGCAGCUUUCCAUUACUGUAUUUUGUAAAAAGACUUCACUGUUCUCUCUGGAUUUUCUAUUCUCUCUUGUCAACAAUCCAUUUUUAUUAGUUAUUAAAUAAACCAACCCUUAAUUUCCUUCACAGUAAAUACAGUAUUACCUGUGCUGAUCUCUGAAAAGGCCUUUCUUAAUACCAAUUAACUUUUGAAAUACUCACAGUUCCUAAUAUUUUAUCAUCUCUGGAAAAAUAAAAAGGAAGAGAGUGCAUAGUCAAAUGCACACAUUCUCCUUUUCUCAAUUGGAAGUAAUUUUCUCCCUCCAGCCUCUCUCUGUUCCUUAGCCCUCUGUGCUAUUUUCACUUUGUAUCAAUUACUUACAUUUACUCUUUAAACAUCUUCCGUAAUUUGCUCCAACUCCCCUGCAGCUUUCGAUAGUAAUUCUUUUUAAAUUCCCCUUUUCACAGUACACACACUUUGAAGAACUUUAAAAGAAAAUACCAGUAUUUAAAAUUGAGACUUAAGAUGAUCAUGUUCUUGUAGGCAGAUGUAAAUAUUGUAGUUAUACUCUCUUGAGUAUUUUUUAGUAGUGUUAGAACUUUCAGCAGUGGUUAGAACUGGUUUGUGCUGCAAACGGUUUUAGUGACGGUAUCCUGAAUGCCUGUACUCUGUACUCAUUAUAUAUAAAAGGUAGCAUAACACAAUGAUCCAAUUCAUAAUAUGCCUUCCCCUAAUUUUUACAUCACACGUUUCAAUUCUGAGACAGAAUUUGGCUGAAGUAUUUAAGAUUUUCUUAUGGUUUUGAGUUGUUUAAAUGUUGAUACAUAUAUUUCCAAAUAUGACCUCAUUGGAGAGUCAGUGUAUUUGGCUGACAAUUAAAUAAAGUUUAUAAGCUUACAAAAAGGGAUGCAUACUACAGCCAAGUUGAAAAAGUAACACUUGGGCACAAAGCUACUUGGCUUACUUUCAUUGGGUUGUCUUUUGUGAUAUUAGGCAAAUAAUUUCAUUUUUUAAAAUUUCUGCUGUUGGGCAAAUGAGCCUGUUGUUGAGGCUUACUCAUAUGAAUGUUUAAAUUUUUCUCCUCUGACAUCAGUCAUUCAUCAAAACCACCUGGGUAUCCAAAACCUAUAUUUAUGGUUUCACUGUAUUAUGGUUUUGCAUUAUUCAUCUGCUAAAUAUCUUUUGAGUACCAUUGUUCAUCAUUGCAUCUCAGUGCCUAGAAUAGGAAGAAGAGCUAACAAGAAUAGUUCCUAAUAAUUAGGAUCACUAAUUAUGUGCCAGGCACUGCUCCCUAUAGCCCUCUGAUGCAGGUACUAUUGUUAUCCCCAUUUUACAGAUGGGGAAGCUAAACCAUAGACAGAGUGUCUUAGCUAGGACUGCUAUAACAAAAUAUCAUACACUGGGUGGCUUAAACAACAAACAUUUAUUUCUCACAGGUCUGAAAGCAGGGAACUCCAAGAUCAAGGUGCUGGCAAAUUCGGUUCUGGCGAGCGCCCUCCUCCUGGCUUUCAGACAGCUGCCUUCUUGCUGUGUUUUCACAUGAUGGAAAUAGAGGGAGUGUGGUCUCUUGCUCAUCUUAUAAGGACAUUAAUCCCAUCAUUGGGUUCCCACCCUCAUGACCUCAUCUAAACAGAAUUACCUCCCAAAAGUCCCACUUCCUAAUACCAUCACAGUGGGGACAGGGCUUUAACAUAUGAAUUUUGGAGGGAUACAUACAUUCAGUCCAUAACACAGAGGAAGUAACUCAUCCAAGGCCUCAUAGCUAAAAGGUGGUAGAGUUGGAAUUGAACCAAGGAUUCACACUUGAAAGUCUGUUUUUAACCAGAAUGAGUGAGUGAGUGAGUAAGGCACUUAUGUUUCCCAAAUUUCUUGAAACAGAGUAAAAAUGUUGACGAAAAACAUAUAGCCCAUGGGAAACAAAUACUACUUGGAAAGGCAUAACAGCUUCUCACCUGUUGAGGAGUAUUCCAUCUUCCUGACCUCCUAUUUAAACAAACAAACAAAAAAACCACACCCAGCAUCACUCUGUUACUCUGUUAUACUGAUGUUGAAGGACUUUUGCAUACACUUCUGGAAACUGGGACAACUGAGCACUACUGACCUGCCUCAGGGAUGUUGUGAGGGGUAAUGAAAGUUUGUGGAAUGUUUAAGACAUGAGUGAAAGACUUUGAAGUAAUGCAAAUUCUUAUAAAAUACAAAAGUUAUUGCUGGCCCGGCGUGGUGGCUCACACCUGUAAUCCCAGCACUUUGGGAGGCUGAGGCGGGCGGAUCACGAGGUCAGGAGUUUGAGACCAGCCUGGCCAACAUAGUGAAACCUUGUCUCUACUAAAAAUACAAAAAUCAGCCAAACAUGGUGGCACAUGCUUGUAAUCCCAGCUACUCAGGAGGCUGAGGCAGGAGAAUCACUUGAACCUGGGAGGUGGAGGUUGCAGUGAACUGAGAUUGCACCACUGCACUCCAGCCUGGGGGACAGAGCGAGACUCCGUCUCAAAAAAAAAAAAAGUUAUUGUUUUUAUAUUGUUAUUGUCCCUGGGAAUCUUUGCUAUCGGUGUACUGUGUACUUCCUGCCUACCUCUGAGUUUGUAAAGUAGGUAAAAGAGCAGAUGUGAUUGCUAAGAAUAUAGCAUUGACCUCUAUGUAAAAUUUAUAGGUUCUCACACAGAGUGCUGAGGCUUUUGAUCAGCAUCUUUGAAAGUAUUGCUUGUAUACAUUUCAAGUAAAAGAUCAUUCUAAUUAUUUCAUAGUCAUACUUUACAUGAAAGAGCUUUGUAAAUAAUUGGAAAAUCUUUAACAAGCUUUGAUUAAUAAUGCUGGCUUUAAUUUUAACUUCAUAUUAUUGUUUUCCAAAUGAUUUCCAUAAUAGAGACCAUGGUGGAUCUAAGCAUGAGAUUUUAAGUUCCUGCCUUUCAAAGGUGUGGCUAAAAACAAGGAGGAUAGAAAACACUGUGUGCUGUCAUGCCAAGCUCUCUGUGUAGGGACUUUAUCUUCACCAUUGCAUUUCAUCCUCAAAACAGCCCUGCAAGGUAAGUAUCUGUAUUUUAUAGAUGGGAAAAACUAAGAUUCAGAAAGUUUACAUAACUACAAAUCUGGUAAGAACUAGAGCCGAGAUCCAUUUCCUGCUCUGUCUUUUCUCACAGUUGUUGCUACAAGGCCACUGAGCUGACUCACCACCCCGGGAGUCAGUGAAGGCUUCCCCGAGGAAGCAGUGUUUGAGCUGAGCCUUGAAACAGAAGUAAGAAGACUCCAGGAGAAGGCUGCAGUAGAGGCUAGAGCUAUUUUUCCUGGCAACAGACCCAGAGAGAAGCUCAACACUUGGAGUAUGAAAGGAGAGUUGGAAAGAAAUCAACUGUGGAAUAACUGCGUGAGUCAUAGUCCAUGUUCUCCUUCCCUGCAUCACAUGCUCAGGCUAAAACCAGAGGACUAAUAUUUAAAAUAAUUGAAUAGUCUUCGUGAGAAGGAGCCCUAGUUGGGGUGAUGCCUCAUCUGAGUAAACUUCUUCCCACUUUUGCUGGGAAGUGGGAGAAGUAGGGAGGGGGACCUCCAACCUCCUCUUCUUUCACUACAAGGUCUAAAGCAAAGGCUGCCAGUGACAGCCACUUGUGUAGACAAGAGAGAGCUGGACAAGGCCGAGCUAUCUGCAUUGAAUGAGGUGACUUACCUCAGUUGUAGGUAUGAAUCUAUAGCCAAGGAUUAUGAAAACCUGAAGAAAAAUGAGGACAAAAGAGCAGGUUGAGAGAAAAAAUACCCUGACUCUGGAGGAAAUAGAUAAUUCAGGACAUAGAAAAUUCUUUAUUCUAUGUAGUAUCCUCAUGGAAACAAAGUCGAGAGAAAGCAUUUUUAGUGCAAAAUUAGAUUGCUAAGAAAGAACAACUAAAACAAAAUAAAUAGUUAUUAAAAUGAAAAAGUAAUUGUUAAAGUUAGAAAUUCAAGGGAAGACCUGGGAGAAAAAGUUGAAGAAACUGCUCUAAAUGUAGUGCAAAAAGAUAAAGGAUGGAAAAUGUGGGAGAAAAGUGAAGAGAUUAGAGAAGCAUCCAAAGGGAUGUUCAGAAAGAGACAAAACAAAGAAUAAGAGAGAAUUUUCCAUAAGUGAGGAAAUAGGACUUGAGAUUGUAAGAACCCUAGAGAAUGCAAAAUAGGAUGAAUGAACAAACUUAGCCCAAGGCACAUUCUUGUGACAUUUUAGAUAUUGAGAAUAAAGGGAAGAGUCUAAAAGCCAAAAGAAUAGAUUACUCAGUGAGAAUCCAAUUGGUAUUAGAUAGAUCAUCAGCAACUGUAAAUGCUAAGAAAAACAAAACAAGAAGCAUGCCUUCAAAAUGUGUAAAAUAAAGUUUUUUGAACCUAAAAUUCUCUACUUAGCCAAACUAUCAAUCGAUCAAGAGUGAGGCAUUUUCAAGCAUGCAAGAACUCAGACCAUUUACCACCCACAGACUAUUUCUGAAAGAAUUACUGAAGCAAAACAAAAAAGAAUCCAAGUAGGAGGAAGCCAUGGCCUCUAAGGAACAGUGGAUCUCACCCAAGAUUGUAAUGAAAUAUAAUUCCAGGAUGACAACCUUGAGGCAGGCCUAGAAAGCCAUCAGUCUGAAUUAGAACCAGAAGUCAGAUGCUCUGUGAAGAAUCUCUUUCAGGAGGACAUGGAUUUCUUCUAUAAAUUGAAUGACUGAGAAGCUGAGUGGUCUUGUGACAAGGCAAAGGCAUGGUAGGUCAUUGUGAUAAGGUAUCAUCCAAACACUCUCCAAACUGUGAAGUAAUUUUCUUCUUCCAAUAGCAAAGGUUUAUUGACAAGAGUUACGUCUCCUCUAUAGGCUCAAGGGCACAGCUGUGCUUGGUUCUGCAGUGAACAAUGAUCUCCCUACGAAUAUUAUGAAUGCUACUUUUCAGUUUUCAGUUUAAAAAAUCAAUUUAUAGACAAUGCAUCAAAGAUUAAUUGUAGUUAUAGGACAAGUGUGAAAACAAUAGUACACUGGAAUGGAGGUUAGGAGAGAGGGAAGGAGCAAAGGAACAAGAUGUAAUGAUGUUGGAUUCUUUUCAUCAGAAAUAAAAAGAAUUAAGAGAUAUUGUGUCUACAUUUGAGAAGUCAAAAUAGGGUUUCAAGUAUCUUAUAUAAAUUUGUUAAUUGUAGUGAUAUCACACUGAGGCACUAUAACAUAGUCGUUAAGAGCAUGGAUCCUGGAGCCAGAACACCUGCGUUUGAAUUUUUGCCACACACUUCAAUUUGGGCAAAUUGCUUAUCUGUGCCUUGGUUUUCUCAGCAAAAAUUGAAAAUAAAUAGUUAAUAUUUCACAAAGUUAUUUGAAAAUAAAAACAGUUGAUAUAUAUAAAGUGCUUAGAACAGUCUUUGGCACAUAAAAAAUUAUUCUAUAUCAUCAUAUGUUACCGAUGAUAACGAUGAUGAUGAUGAUGAUGGAAAACAACUAAACAUCUGGAGAAAAGGGAACCCUUGUACCCUGCUGGUGGGAAAGUAAAUUAGUACAUUGAUUAUGGAAAACAGUCUGGAGGUUCCUCAGAAAAUUAAAAAUAAAUCUACAUAUUACCCAGAAAUGGGAUUUCUGGGUAUAUAUGCAAAGAAGAUGAGAUAAGUAUGCCAAAGAGACAUCUGCACUUUCAUGUUCACUGCAGCAUUAUUUACAGUAUCCAAGAAAUGAAAUCAAUGUAAGUGUCCAUCAGUGGAUGAAUGGGUAAAGAAAAUGCGGGGAGGGGGAUUAGGAAGAUGUUGGUCAAAGGAUACAAGGUUUCAGUUAGACAGGAGGAAUACAUUCAGGAGAUCUAUUGUACAAUAUUGUGGCUAUAGUUAAUAACAAUGUUUUAUAUUCUUGAAAGUUGCUCUAAGAGAAUAGGUUUUAAGUGUUGUCACCAUAAAAAUGUUAAGUAUGUGAGCUAAUGCAUAUGUUAAUUUGCUCAAUUUAGCUAUUUCACAAUAUAUACAUAUUUUAAAACAACAUAUUGACAUGAUAAAUAUAUACAAUUCUUUGUCAGGUACAAAGUUAAAUGAAAAUACAACACAAAACAUUGAAAAAGUUAAAAAAUAAAAAUUUAAUGGGCAGAGAUCGGAAAAGGGAGGUAGUAGCUUGAGAAAAUUUAUUUUUUCAAUUUUUUUAAAAUGAGAGAUCAACGAAUGUUUAAACUUGACAAGUUAGUAAAGAGAGGCAUAACCAUAUUCAGUGUUAUGGAAGCAAUCUUCAGAGAAAUUUCUAUUUUGUCCUAUUUUAAGGGUUUUUAAAAAUUCAUAUGCAAGCACUACUUUUAUUUAGUUUUUACCAAUUUUACUGAGGUGUAAUUGACAUACAAUAAACUGCACAUAUUUAAAGUGAACAGUUUGAUACAUUUUGGACUUAGGUACACACCCCUGAAACUAUCACAGUAAUCAAGAUGAUGAACAUAACCACCAACCAUCAUGCUCUAAAGUUUCUUCAUGCACCUUGAUAAUCUCUUCUUCCUACCUCUUCCCACUCCCCCAAUCUCAGGCAACCACCGUUCUGCUUAUGUGACAAUAAAUUGGCUUGCAUUUCCUAGAAUUUUAUAUCAAUGAAAUCAUAUAGUAUGUACUCUUACAUCUGACUUCUUUCAUUCAGCAUAAUUAUUUUGAGAUUAUUCACACUAUACUGUGUAACAAUACAUUCAUUCUGUGGAUAAACCACAAUUAACAAAUUUACUUGUUGAUGGAAAUCUGGUUUUUGUUUUGCUUUUUCCAGUUUUUGGCUAUUACAAAUAGAACUGCUGUGAUCCUUCAUGUACAAGUCUUGGUAUGGGCUGGGAUUUCAUUUCUUUGGGAUAAAUACUUAGAAGUGGAAUGGCUGGAUUAUAUGAUAGGCAUAUGUUUAAAUUUUUAAGAAACUGUCAAACUGUUUUCCAAAGUGUUUUACAGUAUAUGAGAAUUCCAGUUUCUCCACAUCCUUAUCUUGGCAGUCAACUCUAUCAGCCAUUCUGACAGCUAUGUUGUGGUAUCUUAUUGCAGUCUUAUUUUACAUUUCCUUGGUGACUAUUUAUAUUGACUAUCUUCUCAUGUUUUUGUUUGUCAUCUGUAUAUCUUUAUGGAAAAGUAUCUGUUCAGAUAUUUUGGUCGUUUAAAAAAUUGUUUUUUUUUCUUUUUAUUGAGAUUUCAGUUUUCUUUAUGUAUUUUGGAUACAAAGCUUUCAUUAAAGAUAUGAUUUACAAAUGUUUUCUUCCAA